UCACCCAGACGCUUGUUUUUAUUAGAUGUGCGUACGAACGAGUCGAUACAUCUUGAUGAUCAAGACUAUUCAAAUUGACGCGCGCUACCAAUUCGAAGUAGAGAAAAUUUCAAGAGAAAGCCAGCAUGUCGAGAAGAAGAGUUAUACUCCCAGGGAGAUUUGCCGACGAAAACAGGUGGUAUGUGAUACGAUUCUCGCAGACAAAUUAGAGGAGACAGGGGAAACGAGGGAGGAGAAAGUCCAAGCACCUUAGACAGAUGGUGUCAUGUAUCAUAUGGAGAGAUUGAAUUUGAAAGUGCAUUUGCCAUUACAACAUUGGGGAUGGACAACAUAGACAUUCAUGAUUGUGAAAGCUAUAAAUACAAAGACUGGAACCAUGUACUGUGCUGUUAAAGAAAAUAGACUAUCUAAGUAGACGUCCAGUGCAUUAUUUCAUUUAAUUCAAAAGUCAACAUUGUGUAAUUUUUUUCAUGGAUGACAUUGAUUAUUUGAUCUGAAUUUGCAAAAAUUGGAUUGAGUGGGAAUAAGUGCUGUGAUUUCAAAUGAAAGCCAUGAUAGACACAUUGCUUUUUCAUCCAGAUGUAAGUAAAAUCAUAAAUGCAUGUUUUCAAUUCAUAUAUUGAAAAUUCAGUUUAUUGGAAAUGACUGACUUGUGGGUAAUUAUUAUUAUUAUUUUUUUAUAAUUAAAAAACUUAUAUUAUUGGGAACAGUAUAAAUCUAUGGCCAAUUCUCUAAAUUUGAUGUGUUUUUUAUGCAUAUUAAAUCAAUAUAAAUUGA